AGAGUUUGAUCAUGGCUCAGGACUAACGCUGGCGGCGUGCCUAACACAUGCAAGUCGAACGCAUCUGUGCUUCGGUACAGAUGAGUGGCGAACGGGUGAGUAACACGUGAGUAACUCCCCUUGGGGAGGGGGAUAACCAUCUGAAAAGGUGGCUAAUACCCCAUAUUCUCCUUUUUUGCCAAAGAAAGGAGGAAAGAUGGCGUAAGCUAUCACCCCGAGAGAGGCUCGCGUCCCAUCAGCUAGUUGGUAGGGUAAUGGCCUACCAAGGCUAUGACGGGUAGCUGGUCUGAGAGGAUGGUCAGCCACACUGGGACUGAGACACGGCCCAGACUCCUACGGGAGGCAGCAGUGAGGAAUCUUGGGCAAUGGGCGAAAGCCUGACCCAGCGACGCCGCGUGGAGGAAGAAGGCCUUCGGGUCGUAAACUCCUGUUCGGGGAGAAGAACAGGAGAGGAGUGAAUAACUUCUCUCCCUGACGGUAUCCCCGGAGAAAGCUCCGGCUAAUUACGUGCCAGCAGCCGCGGUAAUACGUAAGGAGCGAGCGUUGUCCGGAUUUACUGGGCGUAAAGAGCUCGUAGGUGGUUUCUUAGGUCUCACGUGAAAUUCCCUGGCUCAACUGGGGAGGGUCGUGGGAAACCGAGAAGCUAGAGGGCAGGAGAGGAGAGUGGAAUUCCCGGUGUAGCGGUGAAAUGCGUAGAGAUCGGGAGGAACACCAGUGGUGAAGACGGCUCUCUGGACUGUCCCUGACACUGAGGAGCGAAAGCCAGGGGAGCAAACCGGAUUAGAUACCCGGGUAGUCCUGGCUGUAAACGAUGGGUACUAGGUAUGGGGGGUUCGACCCCCUCCGUGCCGCAGUUAACGCAUUAAGUACCCCGCCAGGGGAGUACGGCCGCAAGGUUGAAACUCAAAUGAAUUGACGG
rnacentral:rRNA from 1 species